UGAAAAGUGGGGCAUGCAAUAUUAUUCGGCCCCUUUACUUUCAGUGCAGCAAACUCACUCCAGAAGUUCAGUGAGGAUCUCUGAAUGAUCCAAUGUUGUCCUAAAUGACUGAUGAUGAUAAAUAGAAUCCACCUGUGUGUAAUCAAGUCUCCGUAUAAAUGCACCUGCUCUGUGAUAGUCUCAGGGUUCUGUUUAAAGCGCAGAGAGCAUCAUGAAGACCAAGGAACACACCAGGCAGGUCCGAGAUACUGUUGUGGAGACGUUUAAAGCCAGAUUCGGAUACAAAAAGAUUUCCCAAGCUUUAAACAUCUCAGGGAGCACUGUGCAAGCGAUCAUAUUGAAAUGGAAGGAGUAUCAGACCACUGCAAAUCUACCAAGACCCGGCCGUCCCUCCAAACUUUCAUCUCGAACAAGGAGAAGACUGAUCAGAGACGCAGCCAAGAGGCUCAUGAUCACUCUGGAUGAACUGCAGAGAUCUACAGCUGAGGUGGGAGAGUCUGUCCAUAGGACAACAAUUAGUCGUACACUGCACAAAUCUUGCCUUUAUGGAAGAGUGGCAAGAAGAAAGCCAUUUCUCAAAGAUAUCCAUAAAAAGUCUCGUUUAAAGUUUGCCACAAGCCACCUGGGAGACACACCAAACAUGUGGAAGAAGGUGCUCUGGUCAGAUGAAACCAAAAUCGAACUUUUUGGCCACAAUGCAAAAUGAUAUGUUUGGCCUAAAAGCAACACAGCUCAUCACCCUGAACACACCAUCCCCCAACAUGGUGGUGGCAGCAUCAUGGUUUGGGCCUGCUUCUCUUCAGCAGGGACAGGGAAGAUGGUUAAAAUUGAUGGGAAGAUGGAUGGAGCCAAAUACAGGACCAUUCUGGAAGAAAACCUGUUGGAGUCUGCAAAAGACCUGAGACUGGGACGGAGAUUUAUCUUCCAACAGGACAAUGAUCCAAAACAUAAAGCCAAAUCUACAAUGGAAUGGUUCACAAAUAAACAUAUCCAGGUGUUAGAAUGGCCAAGUCAAAGUCCAGACCUGAAUCCAAUCGAUAAUCUGUGGAAAGAUCUGAAGACUGCUGUUCACAAAUGCUCUCCAUCCAACCUCGCUGAGCUCGAGCUGUUUUGCAAGGAAGAAUGGGCAAGAAUUUCAGUCUCUCGAUGUGCAAAACUGAUAGAGACAUACCCCAAGCG